rnacentral:rRNA from 1 species
UACGGGGGGGGGCAAGCGUUGUUCGGAAUUACUGGGCGUAAAGGGCUCGUAGGUGGCCAACUAAGUCAGACGUGAAAUCCCUCAGCUUAACUGGGGAACUGCGUCUGAUACUGGAUGGCUUGAGUUUGGGAGAGGGAUGCGGAAUUCCAGGUGUAGCGGUGAAAUGCGUAGAUAUCUGGAGGAACACCCGUGGCGAAGGCGGCUCUCUGGACCAUAACUGACACUGAGGCACGAAAGCCGGGGGAGCAAACAGG